AGAGUUUGAUUCUGGCUCAGAACGAACGCUGGCAGCGUGGAUUAGGCAUGCAAGUCGAACGUGAAGCCGAUGAUCAAUUUUUCGGGAAAGUGAUUUGGUGGAAAGUGGCGGAAGGGUGAGUAACGCGUGGGUAAGCUACCUCAAAGUUGGGGACAACCAGAUGAAAAUCUGGCUAAUACCGAAUGUUGUCUUCUGGCGCAUGUCAGGAUGACCAAAGGCGGGGAUCCCGGUUUUCCGGGGCCUGUCGCUUUGAGAUGUGCCCGCGUGCCAUCAGCUUGUUGGUAGGGUAACGGCCUACCAAGGCUUACGGCUAGCCGGCCUGAGAGGGUGACCGGCCACACUGGGACUGAGACACUGCCCAGACUCCUACGGGAGGCUGCAGUCGAGGAUCAUUCGCAAUGCGCGAAAGCGUGACGAUGCGACGCUGCGUGGAGGAUGAAGGCCUUCGGGUCGUAAACUCCUGUCAUGAGGGAAAAGCAGCCUUACCCAUAAUACGGGUUGGGCUUGAUGGUACCUCAAGAGGAAGCCACGGCUAACUCUGUGCCAGCAGCCGCGGUAAUACAGAGGUGGCGAGCGUUGUUCGGAUUUACUGGGCGUAAAGGGUGCGUAGGUGGUAUCGUAUGUCGGGUGUGAAAUCCCAUGGCUCAACCAUGGAAUUGCAUUCGAAACUGCGGAACUAGAGUGCAGGAUGGGAGAGCGGAAUUCUUGGUGUAGCGGUGAAAUGCGUUGAUAUCAAGAAGAACACCGGUGGCGAAGGCGGCUCUCUGGAGUGCUACUGACACUGAGGCACGAAAGCUGGGGGAGCAAACAGGAUUAGAUACCCUGGUAGUCCCAGCCGUAAACGGUGCACACUUGGUGUGGGGAGAUUUAACCCUCUCCGUGCCGGAGCUAACGCGUUAAGUGUGCCGCCUGGGGAGUACGGCCGCAAGGCUAAAACUCAAAGAAAUUGACGGGGGCCCGCACAAGCGGAGGAGCAUGUGGCUUAAUUCGAUGCAACGCGAAGAACCUUACCAGGGCUUGACAUAUACCUGCACGCCCCUUGAAAGGGGGGAAGCCUUCGAGGGUGGUAUACAGGUGCUGCAUGGCUGUCGUCAGUUCGUGCCGUGAGGUGUUGGGUUAAGUCCCGUAACGAACGCAACCCUUGUGGCUAGUUGCCACCGGCGGUGAUGAGCCGCCGAGCACUCUAGCCAGACUGCCCGUGCAAGCGGGAGGAAGGUGGGGAUGACGUCAAGUCAGUAUGACCCUUACGUCCUGGGCUGCACACGUGCUACAAUGGACGGUACAAUGGGAAGCAAUACCGCGAGGUGGAGCAAAUCCAAAAAACCGUCCCCAGUACGGAUUGAAGUCUGCAACUUGACUUCAUGAAGUUGGAUUCGCUAGUAACGGCGCAUCAGCAACGGCGCCGUGAAUACGUUCCCGGGCCUUGUACACACCGCCCGUCACAUCAUGAAAGCCGUCUGCACCCGAAGUCGCUGACCCAACCCGCAAGGGAGGUAGGUGCCGAAGGUGUGGGUGGUGAUUGGGAUGAAGUCGGAACAAGGUA
rnacentral:rRNA from 1 species